UACGUAGGGGGCUAGCGUUGUCCGGAAUCAUUGGGCGUAAAGCGCGUGUAGGCGGUUCGGUAAGUCCGCUGUGAAAGUCGGGGGCUCAACCCUCGGAAGCCGGUGGAUACUGUCGAGCUAGAGUACGGAAGAGGCGAGUGGAAUUCCUGGUGUAGCGGUGAAAUGCGCAGAUAUCAGGAGGAACACCAAUUGCGAAGGCAGCUCGCUGGGACGUUACUGACGCUGAGACGCGAAAGCGUGGGAGCAAACAGG
rnacentral:rRNA from 1 species